rnacentral:tRNA from 1 species
GAGAUGUUAACUUAAAUUUAAAGUGUCAAAUUUUUAAUUUGAAAAUGUAUUAUACACAUCUUA